rnacentral:rRNA from 1 species
AACGAACGCUGGCGGCAUGCCUAACACAUGCAAGUCGAACGAGACCUUCGGGUCUAGUGGCGCACGGGUGCGUAGCGCGUGGGAACCCGCCCUUAGGUUCGGAAUAACUCCCCGAAAGGGGUGCUAAUACCGGAUAAUGUCUUCGGACCAAAGAUUUAUCUCCUUUGGAUGGGCACGCGUUGGAUUAGCUAGUUGGUAGGGUAAAAGCCUACCAAGGCGACGAUAGAUAGCUGGUCUGAGAGGAAGAUCAGCCACACCUGGACUGAGACACGGCCCAGACUCCUACGGGAGGCGGCAGAGGGGGAUACUGGACUACGGGCUGAAGGCUGAUCGAGCACUGGCUCGUGAGUGAUGAAGGCCUUAGGGUUAUAAAGCUCUUUUACCCGGGAUGAUAAUGACAGUACCGGGAGAAUAAGCUCCGGCUAACUCCGUG